rnacentral:rRNA from 1 species
CAGGCCUAACACAUGCAAGUCGAACGAUGCUUUCGGGCAUAGUGGCGCACGGGUGCGUAACGCGUGGGAAUCUGCCCCUUGGUUCGGAAUAACAGCUAGAAAUGGCUGCUAAUACCGGAUGACGACGUAAGUCCAAAGAUUUAUCGCCGAGGGAUGAGCCCGCGUAGGAUUAGCUGGUUGGUGUGGUAAAGGCGCACCAAGGCGACGAUCCUUAGCUGGUCUGAGAGGAUGAUCAGCCACACUGGGACUGAGACACGGCCCAGACUCCUACGGGAGGCAGCAGUGGGGAAUAUUGGACAAUGGGCGCAAGCCUGAUCCAGCAAUGCCGCGUGAGUGAUGAAGGCCUUAGGGUUGUAAAGCUCUUUUACCCGGGAUGAUAAUGACAGUACCGGGAGAAUAAGCUCCGGCUAACUCCGUGCCAGCAGCCGCGGUAA